rnacentral:rRNA from 1 species
UGGGGAAUAUUGCACAAUGGGCGAAAGCCUGAUGCAGCGACGCCGCGUGAGGGAUGACGGCCUUCGGGUUGUAAACCUCUUUCAGCAGGGACGAAGCGCAAGUGACGGUACCUGCAGAAGAAGCACCGGCUAACUACGUGCCAGCAGCCGCGGUAAUACGUAGGGUGCAAGCGUUGUCCGGAAUUACUGGGCGUAAAGAGUUCGUAGGCGGUUUGUCGCGUCGUUUGUGAAAACCAGCAGCUCAACAGCUGGCUUGCAGGCGAUACGGGCAGACUUGAGUACUGCAGGGGAGACUGGAAUUCCUGGUGUAGCGGUGAAAUGCGCAGAUAUCAGGAGGAACACCGGUGGCGAAGGCGGGUCUCUGGGCAGUAACUGACGCUGAGGAACGAAAGCGUGGGUAGCGAACAGG